rnacentral:rRNA from 2 species
AACUUUCAACAACGGAUCUCUUGGUUCUGGCAUCGAUGAAGAACGCAGCGAAAUGCGAUACGUAGUGUGAAUUGCAGAAUUCAGUGAAUCAUCGAAUCUUUGAACGCACAUUGCGCCCUUUGGUAUUCCAAAGGGCAUGCCUGUUCGAGCGU